AAAGAAUUUCGCUACAAUCUAUCUCCUUAUUUUCUAUUAAAGAAGAAAUUAUUUUUUACAUACGAUGCAUCUUAUCGGAUCGUUGACGCUAACUAUUAAUCCCGAAAGCUCAAGCUGUUAAAAAUAUAGAACUACUUUACUUAAAGCGUACAGAUACAGCGCUUAGCGAUCUCAAUUGUAACCGGUUCAAACCAGCUUCACGCCAAUUCGAAUAUAACUCGAUCCAAUCCAGUCUUACGCCAUUUCGAACAUAACUCGGUCCAACUUGACCUCUCGCCACAAGGACAAAAUGCUGGCCCCAUUAAACCAACAUAUCUCUAUGUUCGGGCAACACACACCCAUGGAGCCUUAGAUUACGAUUUCAUUUCUCAAUUACAAUGCUUAUUGGGUCGCAGCUUUUCAUAUAAUCUCUAAUUUACCGAUCGUCCCUAAAGCAAGUGGCAAAGAGUUUGGUGGUUGGUAUCCGAGAUCUAAGUUCGAAUCCUUGUUGAUUCACAUUUCCAGUUAAGUUUAUUUCUAAAUAAAAUAAAUGAAGCGGGUAGCGUGCUACCUAUCUCUCUCCAAAAAAUAUAUAUAAUCUCUAAUUUAAUUAAUUAAAAUAACUAAAAUCGAAA
rnacentral:lncRNA from 1 species